GUUCUCGUUCCGCAGCAGGUAGUGGCUGAGAGCAGCAGGAUUCUGGGAGAUUGUAAGAGAACGCCUUAAUGAGCUGAAGGCCUCCACGGCUGGAAACAAAUGUAUGCAAAUGAGAUGCACAACCCAAAAAAAAAAAAAAAAGAGGAAGGAUGGUGGUCCAAGAAGAGAAGACGAACUGCAGCUGACUGAGUCUCCCCCCCCUCCCCAAAUCCAGCAACCAGGAUGAGCUCUGCUAUCUCUCUCUCUUCUGCGAUCUGCGCCUGGCUUUCAUUUGCCCUCCCCGCAACAAUGAAACGCGCCAUGUAUUGGGAUCCAUUCCUCUGACUCAAACCCCAUCAUCGUAGUCAACUCCUCUCUGCGUCUCAAGUCCACCGACAUACAUGACAAGCUAACUAGACAAACUGGUAACAGCAGGAAAGCCGUCCAUAUGGAGGGAAGCGUCUUCAAGAGAAAAGGCUGAGCUGUGUAGAGUCUCGUCUCUUUGGAUGCGAUGCAGGCCAGUUGGGACUUAAUCAGAACCAGAUGGACACGGUGUUGAAAUUGUCCAAAAGGGUCUGAGAACGUGGGGAGCUGUCAGGCCUGUGGAGAGAGUGGAAUUCUUCAGUAAUAAAACGUGGAUUUAUCACCUCUCUACCACAGUCAUAGGCCUUUCUGUUAAAAGCUGAUAGAGAGAGGGAGGCCACUGUCCAUUAUUCUCGCAAAACCUCCGACUCGGCUCCUCAGCAAAAGCCCGAGCAAGCAGCCUUUGGAGAAGGCGCAUUAACUGAGAGCUUUCGCGUCCCCUACUGAGUCAAAUGAACCUGCUAAAAUAGCCGCUUUUCACAAUAGGCUGUGUAAUUGAAACCAGAAUGUGGAGGAUUUGAUAAAUUGCUUGACCCUGUAGGAAUGUUAGAGCCGUAAAUUUUUAGUGCAUUUUGGCUAUGUGUUUGGGUAAAUGCAUGUCUGUGCAUGUGUCUUUCGGCAUACGAGUGCGUCUGUGUUUUUAUUAUUUUUAAUAAUAAUGGCUUUUCACUUUCGUUUCAGCGAGGGCAUGCACACAUACACACACACCGAAACCUUUGCAGGCCUUAAAGCACCUUUCCAUUCUAAGAUCAAAUGGUCCAUAAAUCUUCCGAACUCUACGGAGUUCCUUCACGUUCUUGCUGGUUUACAUUAGAGAUCGAAAAAUCCUUGGAAGGCAAACCAUCCAAUGCAGUUUGCAGCAUCAAAAGAUUUAAGGGCACGUUCCUGCGAACCUAAAAUGGCACUGAGCAUGCUAAAGAUAAUAUGUGUAAUAUGAGCAAAAGUAGAUUUAAAAGCAAGUUUCCUACAUAAUAAAAAUCAUCAUUAUGAAACAGAAAAAUACUAAGAAAUUCAUAAAAAAAAUUGUAACAUACAUCUUAACUUUGUAGAAAAUUAAAGGAUAUGGUCAGUGCUUAUUUUGUAUAUGAAAAAUUUCCGGAACAAAACCAGGAAAUAAAAGUUACCGUGAAAGACGUCGCGACAAUUUCAGUUUUCCCGGUAAAAUGACCUUACCAAGCAGUUGUAGCGGAAAUAAAGCAUCAAAUUUCUGAACGUCUUUAAUUAUUUUGUACAAUAUAAUGUUAUGGGUAAACCAAAACAAAAAACAAAUACACAUGUAGCUACAAACAUAAGUCUCUAUUUAGUUUACUAACACCACUGACAUUCAGUUCACUUCGUGAAGUUUAGUUAUAAACAAGUUUCGAGAGGAUCACGUGCUUAUGAUUGCUAGCGGCUGGAUCCGCAUUAUCCAAUUCUCAAUGCACCAAUCAGACGACUCCUAAGCUACUACAAAUACCCUGGGUUACGUACCACUGCUAUCUUCGUUUUGAAGAAUCCCCCCAUCCACCCCUACUCCUUCUUCUUCCUAGAUGGGUGACACGGUGGCCCAGUGCUUAGCACUGUUGCCUCACAGCAAGAAUGUCUCUGGUUCUAGGCUUUACCAAACCAGCAGACAUUUCUGUGCGGAGUUUGCAUUUUCUCCCCGUGCUCACGUGGGUUUCCCCCGGGUUUCCCGGUUUCCUCCCACCGUCCAAAAAACAUGCAGCAUAAGUUAAUUGACUAAUCCAAACCGGCACUAUAGACAUGCUCCUAGUAAAUGGUUAUCUCUCAAGAGCAAUCACUGGCUGUUCAUUGGUUAUUACAGCGGGGGAGUUCUCGAGAUCUACCUGAGCUCAAACUCCCUUCUCGCUUUGCAACGGGAGGGAGCCCCGGGCUCGAGGAUCUUAUGAGCUCAGGGCUCUCUCCCGGGACAGCAUGCCAAACAAGCUUAUAAUUAAUCAUCAGCUAAGUGUGAACUCUUGAAACUAUUAUGUGAAAGCGAAAAUGACUCACUCAGUCUAAUCUUCAAGAAGAGUCCACAGUUAUCUCUUCCGUCAUAUUUUCUGGGUGACUUGAAAUCGCGUUGCUUCUGUCUCCUGAUAUCCUGAUCCAUUCGCGCAGUUUCAUGUUCUUGAGAUUAGGCUUCUUCUUCCUUUCGAUCAGGCUCAUUAUCAGAUUUACUCAUGGUUUUUAAAAAAUGACCCUGCAGGCACAGGAUGUCAACAUGACGUCCUAUUGACGUUGUACGCCAACAUCAUGGGGAUGUUGGAUGUUGUUUGGAAAUGAAAAUCGGGUUGAGGUCAGAAUCCAACAUCAGGCUGACAUCAAUCUCCAACGUUCAAACUAAAAUCAACCAAAUCUGACUGUCUACUCGUGUUACACUUUGACGUUGUGUGGAUGUUACCACUAUGACAUCUAUCAGACAUUUGAUUUUGGUCACUUUCUAGCAUAACCUAAACUCAACCAAAUAUCAACGUAAUUUGAUGUCAUUAUUGGACGUCAAAAUAAUGUUGUCAUUAGAAGUUGACUACAUGAUUGAAUUUUGCUCUCCUGACAUCAUGACCUAAAUCUAACCUAAUAUUAAUGUCUUAUGAUGUUGUGUGCCUGUUGGGAAUAUAUGCUUGACUGCUUAUUUGGCAUUUCGAAAGUACAAAUAUUAUUAAGGUAGGCUACUAUGCCAUUAUUUAUGUUUGCUGGUCACUGCGUGCGAAACAAUAAUCACGAACCAAAGAGAGUGACUGUAAAUGUAAGAAAGCUGAUUGGUCCAAAGUGACUACCUUUAUGUUUGUGCAAGUGCAGAUACACAGAGCUUUGCUUGCUUGUUUUUCACUCAGACUCAUUCUCAUUCCCUCUCUCUUACACACACAUGCAGGUAUUCACCACACAAACGUUAUUAGCGGAUCAAUUAAAAUAAAUGCAGAACGCAAAACACGAAUCACUGACAUUUCCCGGAACAAGAUACGGCUCAAAUUAAACGCUGGAUAUGGUAACACUUUGUGUCACAAUUCACGCUAAAGACUACUGGCUUAUAACCUUCCUAUUUUUAAGAUAUUAACUGUUUAUUAGCACUUAUAAUGUAUGAUCUUAUUUUACAUCCAUAAUCCCACUGUAAAAAACGCUGGGCUCCACACAAUCGACUUGUGUUGAGACAGCAUGAAGGAAUUAAGUUAACUUUGUCCCCAAAACACUCCAGAAUUGUGUUGUUUCAGCUCAAUUUAAAUAAGCAGUUUGAACAAACAGCAAAUGUACCUUUUUGAGUGCACCUAAACCCAACUACCUUAUUAACUAUCAGUGUUAGGCAGUAGCGUCGCUACAAGUAGUAACGCAACUAGCUAAACUACAUUUCUCCGUGGCAUGGCGGUAGCGUCGCUACUUUAGAAAUCAAAUAGCUUUUAAGUAGCGACGCUAUUUUUUAGUCAAGUAGUGCAGUAGUGUCCACACAAGCCACAUUUACAGAGCUGUGAGGCUGAUGUUCAGCCAAUGAAAGUAAAUCCAUUU